UCCAGAUCUCUCAAGCUUACAUUCUGUCCGUGUUGCGAAAUCCUUUCCACUUUGACCCAUUUCUGAGUAGUUAUGGCCAUGUGUUAGGCUCAUACGAACCAUCCAGAUCUCUCAAGCUUACAUUCUGUCCGUGUUGUAAAAUCCUUUCCACUUUGACCCAUUUCUGAGUAGUUAUGGCCAUGUGUUAGGCUCAUACGAACCAUCCAGAUCUCUCAAGCUUACAUUCUGUCCGUGUUGUAAAAUCCUUUCCACUUUGACCCAUUUCUGAGUAGUUAUGGCCAUGUGUUAGGCUCAUACGAACCAUCCAGAUCUCUCAAGCUUACAUUCUGUCCGUGUUGCGAAAUCCUUUCCACUUUGACCCAUUUCUGAGUAGUUAUGGCCAUGUGUUAGGCUCAUACGAACCAUCCAGAUCUCUCAAGCUUACAUUCUGUCCGUGUUGCGAAAUCCUUUCCACUUUGACCCAUUUCUGAGUAGUUAUGGCCAUGUGUUAGGCUCAUACGAACCAUCCAGAUCUCUCAAGCUUACAUUCUGUCCGUGUUGCGAAACACAGAUCAGGAUGUUUGGUAUUGAGGCUAGCCGUGUGUGGCUCAGGGCAGGGGAGAUGACCUGUGGUACUACUAUAGCAGAGAUCAGGAUGUUUGGUAUUGAGGCUAGCCGUGUGUGGCUCAGGGCAGGGGAGAUGACCUGUGGUACUACUAUAGCAGAGAUCAGGAUGUUUGGUAUUGAGGCUAGCCGUGUGUGGCUCAGGGCAGGGGAGAUGACCUGUGGUACUACUAUAGCAGAGAUCAGAGGAGUUCCAAACCAGCGAACACAGUUUACGUCUUUACAGAGCAUCACAGGGAGAAUAAUUAUAGGACAACGUCUGUGUGUGUGUGUGUGUGUGUGUGUGUGUGUGUGUGUGUGUGUGUCUGUGUGUGUGUGUGUGUGUGUGUGUGUGUGUGUGUGUGUGUGUGUGUGUGUGUGUGUGUGUGUGUGUGUGUGUGUGUGUGUGUGUGUGUGUGUGUGUGUGUGUGUGUGUGUGUGUGUGUGUGUGUGUGUGUGUGUGUGUGUGUGUGUGUGUGUGUGUGUGUGUGUGUGUGUGUGUGUGUGUGUGUGUGUGUGUGUGUGUGUGUGUGUGUGUGUUGGACAGCGUGUAUGUGUGUUUUGCCGCGUUCACGUCAUGUCGGUAAAACUCGGGGACCUGCGAGUUAAAAUUAACAUAAGUUAUUUGUGUAAAGCUUGCUAUUGGUUCAUUCUGAUACUUCCCAAGUGGGAAACUCAGGGUAUCAUCUUUCUACAACGAGAAAGCAAGUCGGAAAUGUCCAAGUUUCCGAAGGGACUUGAACGCGGCAUUAGAGUGUGUGUACCACUAUUGACUCCUACUAGGUGAACGGAAAUGUUGGUUGGUGCCUGUCUGCCGGCGUAGAAGUGUGUGUGUGUUUCCUGGGCUGUGAUUCUGUGUGUGUGUGUUCUAAUUCCGGCACAUUCCUGGCUUGUAUAGAUUGGUAUCGUGUGUUGCAGACAGGCUACCAACUAGGUUCAAGUUGAAAGACCCUACAGCACAGGACACCUCAUAUUUCUAUGUGAAUCUGGUCGGGUCACCCAAAAAAGUUACACAUUACAGCUUUAAAGUAAUGUUCUCAAAUUAUUCAGAGAACGUUAAGAAACAACUUUAUUCUGUGGAAAUUUCAGUCUUUCAGCAUAAUGUUUUCUGCAGGUUAGUCCAUGGUUCUAUUUAAAGUCAUAUUCUCAUAACAUUAAGAAAUCUUUCCAGAAAAAACACAAGAAAACAUUAGUAACGUUCAAAGAACUCCAGCCACCCUAGUCAUAGACUGUUCUCUCUGCUACCGCACGGCAAGCGGUACCGGAGCGCCAAGUCUAGGUCCAAAAGCCUUCUAAACAGCUUCUACCCCCAAGCCAUGAGAAUAUCUACUUCUGCUAUCUAGGAAAACCAAAGUUUCAAAGUCUGGGCCUAAUAUAGUGUAUAAGAGGUCAUACAAUAAGUUUUGUAGUGAAUCCUAUGUUAUUGAUGUAAAUAAUAUUUGCUGGUCAGUGGUGUGUAAUGAGGAGCAACCAGACGCUGCACUUGACACUUGCAGUUACUAAUAAGCAUGCACUCAGUUAAGACAAGGACUGUCAAAACUGUUAAAUCACAGUGGAUUGAUGAGGAAUUGAAAAAUUGUAUGGUUGAGAGGGAUGAGGUAAAAGGAAUGGCAAAUAAGUCUGGCUGCCCAACUGAUUGGGAAAUGUACUGCAAAUUGAGAAAUCAUGUGACUAAACUGAAUAAAAAGAAAAAUAAACUACACUAUGAAACAAAGAUAAAUGACAUAAAGAAUGAUAGUAAAAAGCUUUGGAGCACCUUCAAUGAAAUGUUAGGAAAAACUGCAAGCUCAGCUCCAUCAUUCACUGAAUCAGAUGGCUCAUUCAUCACAAAACCCACUGAUAUUGUAAACUACUUUAAUGAUUUUUUUCAUUGGCAAGAUCAGCAAACUUAGGCAUGACAUGCCAGCAACAAACGCUGACACUACACAUCCAAGUAUAUCUGACCAAAUUAUUAAAGACAAGAAUUGUAAUUUUGAAUUCCGUAAAGUGAGUGUGGAAGAGGUGAAAAAAUAAUUGUUGUCUAUUGUUGUUGUCUACCGCUGUUGGCGGGGCUCCCUGCCUGUGCCAUUAAACCCCUACAACUCAUCCAGAACGCCGCAGCCCGUCUGAUGUUCAACCUUCCCAAGUUCUCUCACGUCACCCCGCUCCUCCGCACACUCCACUGACUUCCAGUUGAAGCUCGCAUCUGCUACAAGACCAUGGUGCUUGCCUACAGAGCUGUGAGGGGAACGGCACCUCCGUACCUUCAGGCUCUGAUCAGGCCCUACACCCAAACAAGG
rnacentral:lncRNA from 1 species